rnacentral:rRNA from 1 species
AAUCAACGCUGGCGGCGUGCCUCAGACAUGCAAGUCGAACGAUUAAAGCUCUCUUCGGAGAGUGCAUAAAGUGGCGCACGGGUGAGUAACACGUAAGUAAUCUACCCUCGAGUGGGGAAUAACGUCCGGAAACGGACGCUAAUACCGCAUGAUGCAGCGGCACCGCAAGGUGACAGUUGUUAAAGAUUUAUCGCUUGGGAGGAGCUUGCGGCAGAUUAGCUAGUGGUAAGGUAAUGGCUUACCAAGGCUACGAUCUGUAACCGGUCUUAGAGGA